rnacentral:rRNA from 1 species
UACAGGAGGUGCUAGCGUUGUUCGGAAUUAUUGGGCGUAAAGGGCGCGUAGGCGGCCCUGUGUGUCGGGUGUGAAAGCCCACCUCUUAAAGGUGGAAUUGCAUUCGAAACUACAGGGCUGGAGUGUCGGAGAGGAUGGCGGAAUUCCUGGUGUAGAGGUGAAAUUCGUAGAUAUCAGGAGGAACACCAGUGGCGAACGGCGGAGCUUUC